AGCGAACGUUAGCGGCGGGCCUAACACAUGCAAGUCGAACGAGAAUGAGGGGGCAACUCCUCUAGUAAAGUGGCGGACGGGUGCGUAACACGUGGGUAAUCUACCUUCCGGCGGGGGACAACAGUCCGAAAGGAUUGCUAAUACCGCGUACGUCAGCGAGACCUACGGGUCUUGUUGGGAAAGAUGGCCUCUCCUUGGAAGCUGUCACCGGAAGAUGAGCCCGCGGCCCAUCAGCUAGUUGGUGAGGAAUGGCUCACCAAGGCUUAGACGGGUAGCUGGUCUGAGAGGAUGAUCAGCCACACUGGGACUGCGACACGGCCCAGACUCCUACGGGAGGCAGCAGUGGGGAAUAUUGGGCAAUGGGCGGAAGCCUGACCCAGCCACGCCGCGUGAGUGAUGAAGGCCUCGGGUCGUAA
rnacentral:rRNA from 1 species